AGCGGGCGCGCGGUCGAUCGAGCGAUCGGUUGGCGGCUCUUUCUCCUGCUCUGGCAUCCAGCUCUUGGGGCGCAGGCCCGGCCGCCGCGGCGCGCGCCCGGUGGCCGUUGGCGCUCGCGCCGCGUCUUUCUUCUCGUACGCAGAACUCGGGCGGCGGCCUAUGCGUUUGCGAUUCGACGAGGAGUCGUCCGGGUGGUCGGUGGCGGUGGGCAACUGCUCCGCCCCGCUCCCGGGGAGGCGGCGGCGGCGGGAUUUGGUGCGGCCGGGGAGGCGGGGGUGGCCGGGUCCGGCCUGGAGGCCUGGCGCCACCCUUCGGGGCCUGCAAGGACCCAGUUGGAGGGACAGGAGGGGGCAGGGGGAUGGUUGGUGGUGGGCUUUCUACUUUGCCUUUUCCUCCUUAUGCCGCCUUAGGGAGGGGCGGGAGCUCUGGAGGCAGCUCCGGGGUCGGGAGACAAGCUCCGGAGUUGGAAGAGCUGGGUUUGCUUCUGGGCCUAGCCACCAGCUGGCCGAGUGAUCUUAGGCAAGUCACUCUGUAAUUUGUCUGCGCCUCAGUUUCCUCCCCUGCCUAUUGAUGUUUGUGGGAUUAAAAACGCUUUGUAAACUAUAAAGCGUCAGUGUAUGUAAGGAAUUAUUGUUUGUAAUUUUUUUUUUUGAGUUGUAAGAAAACUUAGCAAUUGCCCGAUCCUUGGAUUUUCAACCUUCGAUAGGAGUUGGAGAUCCGCAAACUCCCUGAAAUUGUAUGCGGGAAUGUACAUUUUAGGGGAAUCAGGAUCAACUGCCAGCAAGUUUUCAGAGGGAGCUGUCACCCCCAAGAGUUAAGAACCAUGAUUUCUUUAUGCCACAGGGAGGAAACUGAGGCUUGGAUGUCAUUUGGGACCCAUCACAACCAAUUUGAAGCCCCUAUUUGAAUCCCUGGGAUAUGUGAGUUGUUUCUCUGCAUAAUGGUUAUUUGGGGUAACAACACUCCACUGCUUGGCUUCUAUUCUGAGUCCUUUCGUUUCCCUGAGGGUUGCCUGAAGGGUGGCUGAUGUAUAUGGCGCAGUGGUACCCCAUAUAAAGCAGCUAAGACUAAGAGCAGAUAUGUUCUCUAGUAUCAAGAAGCCUAUUAAUCUUUGGCCUAAUAAUUUUGUUUUCUGCUGCUUAUACUGGUGCCCGACAACCUUUCUGACUCUUUAGUUGACCAUUUCACGACCGUGUUUGCCACCUGUUAUUUGCUCCUAUUUUAUAUCUCUAGUCUGUGUGGUUGGUAGUGAGCAGGCUUAUUUUUAAAUGGUGCUGCCAGGUCUAGCUAAUUAAUGGUUCAGGUGGAUUUUUAGCAAACUGGCUCACUGGAACAGACUGAACCAGGCAUGGAAUUCCUGAAGAUGUUGGGGGUUUGUCUUUAUUAAUUGAAGGUUAACAUUCUCUGAAAAGUUUUUAGAACUUCUACUGAACCUCAAAAUCAGAGUUGGAAGUGUUUCAAAGCGUAACUUUUUCCUGGACUGCUUUGUAUUCUAUCUGCUUGCAAGUGUGUUACUAAGAUGGCCAAAAUAUCAGUUUUUGCUUCUUUGUUAAUUGUCAGCUGCUGUUAUCAAAUUCCAGGCCAUUAUCCAGCAAACACUAUAGAAAUAUUUGAACAGUUGGAUUUCAAACAUUUUCGUUUUGUGGCGUGAUGGUUACCGGUGGUACAGUUCUAAGCAAGUGAACACACACGUUCGAGUGUAUUUUGUCUGGUUAGGUGUUGCUUGGUUCUGCUAUUUCAUACAGAUGUCUGAAAAAAAGAAAAAAAAAAUCAGUCGACUGUUCUCUUUAUCUAAAGGGCAGAGAGAGAUUAUCUCAAUUCCAGAAAAAUGACUGUUUUGGAGAAAAUGUGUUGGUCUUUUAGGUCUUUUGUAAUUAAAUCUGGAUGUACCUCAAAAGAACAUUAAGACUGUGGUGAUAGGUGCUUUCUGCAGCAGAAAGGAGGGGGAAAAAAAACAACUGGAACUCAAAGCUUGAAAUUCUGUGACAAAACAUGAGAGUUUCACUACAGUGUUCUACACUAGCUGGAGCAGAUAUCUUUCAGUGUAGCCAUGGUGUGGACUCCAGAUUUCCAAGACCUGGACCUGGACUAUGGAAGAGCUUAUCAGGAUGCGACAGGAGCUCUGGAGCUGGAUAUUUUUUAUUUUUGAAUUUUGGGACUGUUGUCUCUUUUCUCAAAGCAAAGUCGACGACUGAGCAAGCACUGCCACCAGCACUGUUACUGCGAAUUCGAAGACCUGAGUUUCUGCCAGACCCUCGGUGCAAACUCUGUCAACACACCAUCCAAAGUGAACCACGUCCUGUGCCUCCUGAUUGCUGAGUGUUCACCUGGACCUUCCAACUACCUUCCUUGUGCUGUCCCAUCAGCCUACAGAUCUGGUACCUGGAUUUUUGCCCAUGGUGAUUCCUAUCACUUAACUACUGAAGAAGACACCAUUCCAGUGGACCACUGUGACUCAAGAGGCAUUCAGCCAUCAUAUCUUGGCCUUCACCUCUAUUCUUGUCCUUUUCUACACAGAAUGAGCACCACCCUUUAUAGUGAAGUCAAAGGCCCAGUUUGUUCCAAGAGUGUGCAUUUUGUUUCUUCAGUUAAAGCCUUCAGAGACAAAUAAUAAAUUUGGACCAGGGGAUUUUUAGUUAACAACACUGUCUGAAGAACGGCAACAUCAUUUCGAGAACAACAUUGAACCACACCCCACAAUCUCAAAUGUUUGAAGUUCAUGAAGUGUCUAGGAUCCCAUCCAGGUCACUGGACCUUACUCUCUCUCUACUUCAAAUCUAUAGUAGCUGCUGAAUGAGAAAACAGAAAUUCUGACCCAUCGGAUUAAAACAAAGGCACAGCAAAGUCCUCGUAGCAUCUUUGGGAUUACGCGAGGACCAGAACUUUUAACACAAAUGUAAGAAAUUUUACCAAGGAAUCCCUUUACUUAACAGCAUCUCAUAAAGCUCCAAUCAGGUUCCAGAAAAGGCCUCUUAAGACAUCCAGGUAGAACCUAUAUGGUAAUUCCUUAUGUUUAUAUUGCACUUUACAGUUUCAAAGCACUUUUACAUGCAUUAAUCUCAGUGAUCAAAAUAACAGUAAAUUAUCCCCUUUUACAAAUGAAAUGAUAAUGUUAUCCAAGGUAGCAGAACUACAAAGUGGAAGAAGCCAGGCCUUCUGACUCACAGUCCAGUUCUCUCCUCAGAAUUAAUUUAGCCUCUACUUUACCUGCAGUGUUAAAAUAAGUAGAGACUGGGAACCCCAGGAAAAUUUUCCAACUUCCUGAUCUGGUGCCUGCAGUCAGGAUUUUAUAAGUAUAAUGUUGUGAUAGCUGUACCUAGACCAGAAUUCCAUGGUGACACCCCUAAGGUUUAGGGGCAGACUGUCUCCAUGGUGGUAGAUUGUCUAGUCAACAAGGCACAUGUUCAUCUGACAGCAAGACCGCCCAACAUGAAACAAAACUACUUUUAGAUCUUUUGUCCAUCUUCAUGGCCUUCCCAAAGAUGGCUUGUUUGGGGAUCCCUGUUCAUAUCAUGUCCUCGUGUGUAUUUUUUAAGGCUUAUUAAUACUCUAGAACACCCAAGGUCUUAGCUAUGGUCCUUUAUCCCCAAAAUAAUACUUAUACAAAAUGAGCCAUCUUUUUUUUAGAGUAGUACUGUUCACGUGUGUGUGUGUGUUUAUAUAUGUGACAUAUACAUAUAUACAUCAUAGAGCUUUUGUAGUUCAAUAAGGCGGUAAAAGUACUGUAAAAUGUGUCCCUCCCUGAUUCAUGACGCAGUUUAGUAUAUUGAAGGAUCUCAAAAGGCUUGCAGCAAAAAAAUACUCAUUUAGCUGUUUAGCCCAGGAUAUUCUAAGUUUAAUCAAGCACAGAAAGUUAUUUUUGUAGCAUUCUUUUUAAUGGAAUGGGGAGAUUGCUUUAGAGCAGUAUAGCCAGUGCUUUCUGAAUCCCAACAGAUUGCCCUAGAGGCCCAGGAAUAAACUGCAUCUUUGAAACUCCCCUUUUUCUUAUCAACAACUGCUUUGAAUUAGUAUGUCUCCAUCAUCUGAGAGUCCUUUAUCUUGACCAUUACCUUUAUUUUCUGCCAACGGAACCUCUAGAAGAUUUGUGGGGAUACGUGGGAGGGAAAUGGGGGAAAGUUAAUUCUGCCUCCAAGUUGGACGAAUUGCAUGACAUUUAGUAACAUAUUUCUCUGUCCCUAGAAUUGUGCUGUAAACUUAGUUCAAGAGCAUAACAUUUCAGGUGGGUGAGAAGAUUGGGAAGGGAUAAGAGGAAGAAGAUGGAGAAAACAAGGAGGAGUGAGAAGGAUAUUUUCUUAGAAUAUGAGUUAUUGCCCAUUGAGAUCAUGCUCGAAGAGAAGUCAUCCACUUGAAAUAAUACAAAAAGAGAAUGCAUUUUGCAUCUGUAUGCUGACUGCAAAAACCCUAGUACCCUUGUCACUUAAAACCAAUUACUUGAUAGUCACAAGCCCGAUUUCAGACAAUCAGAAUUUAUAGCAGAUUUGAGUGUUAAUUUCAUAAUUCUAUAAUGUGGCCCACCUUAGGGGAUGAAUGAAUAGGAAAACACUUUGGAUUACCAAAGGCUUUGCUCACACAAUUUCUGGUUUCUGUGACCUAUUUUUUGUAUUUCAGCAUUUUGUGAACAGCUUAUUCUUAGAUCAUUGGUUUUCCAAAGGCUUUGUGGCCGUGAAGCCCUUUGAAUGAAAACUGUGUGGAAGCCCAGAGUAAAAGUGAAGCUGCUCUGGAUGAAGGAGGAGUAGGGGGCCUGAAACCUGCCACAAGCAUCUUUCCCACCAUGAUGACACCUAAGGAGACUUUUUUUACAGCACCUAGAAUUCUUCAGGACAGAUUGAAAACCACUGCCCUAGACAACAAACAAUAUGUUCGACCUGAAUGGCAUUCUCAUCUGUACCCAACACAGUCCAUGUUCAGUUGGUCCUGAACAUUCUUAGGAAUAAUUAUUUUGAGCAAACUCAGAAAAGUGCAAGAAGAUGGUUUAUCUUUGCCACCCAGAGUAGUCAUAUGGGCCAAAAGUGGUAUGAAAUGGACCUAGAUUAAUAGCCCUCUACCCGCAGGUGGACUUCCAGUGACUCCUGGGACUGGAUAUAGACAGUAAUUCAUAUGUACUCUACACUGACAAAUCCCUUAACCCAACUUUCACAAACACCAAAUGCUCUAGUGGUACUUGAAAUAUGUGACUUUGAGGUCUUCAUCUUUGGAUACCUGAAUUGCCAGAUGUUGAAGUUGAUGCCUCAUUGAGGCCAUAAUAGAACAGCUUGUACAUUGGACCUCCAUCAUCAGCCAUGGUACUCUACUUCAUGUGCAAGGGAUAACCAUUAACUAUGAAAGCAGAAUUCAAAUACUGGCAGCAUUACCAAAAGGGUACCUGGUUUUCAUUCAUCUUAUUAUCAAACUACAAGUCACUAUGACUCAACCAAUGGCAUUUAUACUGCUGUUUGGUUUUAUUCACUUUAACUGCUGUUUCUAGAAUAAAUGAGCUAAUAACCUUUAAAAAGCUAAAACGAUUCCUCCAUCACUGGCAUAUUCUGCUCUAAAAUUACCAAUACUCAGCUCUAACUGCACGACGGUCCACAAGAAACAAUCUUUGAACAUCUUUUCUCAUAUGUGAUUUGAAAUACGGCUAUUUGGAAAAUUUUCUCUUAGCCAAUUAGAAUUUUUCAUUCGAGGUGGGUCUUUUGAUGUCUGGUUCCAUCAACUAGGUGUUGGGGAUAUUUGGAGAUAGGCCUGUUGACCAGGCCAUGAUAGCUGACUUGCUGGGAAUCUCAAAUUGUAUAUCAUCUACCUUUUUGAUGGAAAUGUAGCCUGACUUGAAAAAAAAAAUUCUACAAAGCCUCCAACUAAGGAUUUUAUCUGUAGACUCAAGAACUUUCUGCUGCUUCUCCCUGUGGUCACAAGACCACAGUCUCUUGUCCUUGUGGAUGUGUUAAUGGAAUUCCAUCUGUUUUACACUGAUUCAGAGUGGCCGACCUCAUUCCUUGCCAUGUGAUACUCCCAGGCGUUAAGACAGCUUAACUUGUUUCUGCAGGAAGGAUUCAAUUCGUGAACUUCAAGACCAGAUCGAGUUGAAUAAGUAUGUCACGAGAAAAUCUCAUUUACUUCACAGUUAACUUAAGAGCCAGCUGUCUUCAACUACUUUAAUGAAUGUACUGAUUAACUUGGCGAUUUUUUUUAUAUAAAUAUAUAUAUCUUUGUCCCUUCUAGACUAAUUGUGAUUACAUGACUUGGUCUGCAAAUCAUCAAACAAGACCUAAGUCUGGUUGCUCUAGACUGCCCGCUCUCAACAAAUCUGAUGACUAUCAUGCUUAUGUAUACAACUAUUAUUUGUAAAGGAGAAACUAUCUACAAAUUCACUUUUCUACUACCUUCAAAAUAUUAGCUCAAUUUUUUUUUCUUUCUCCUGUACAGAAAAACCCAUUGAUCUACACUGCCAGUCAUUCCCUUUAAUCCUGUCAUACUCAGUCAAAAUGAGGGGCUUAAGGCGAGGAUGAUCAUCUUUCAAGAGUCUAAUGAACACGGUGUCUUAAGAACUGACGGUUGGAAAAGCAAAAAGCCUAAAAUUCAAACCUGUUACUAUUUCUAUGCCUCAGAUCUCAUCUAAGUCUUUCCACCAACACCAUUCAACCAAUUUGAGGCCUUGACUUGUUUAUAAUUCUCAGAGAUGGGCUGAGUACAGAAGAUGAAGACUUGAUUGCCAAAGAAAGUAGGGCCAACCUUGAUGAACCUGGCUCUCCCAACCCUAUCACUCCUAGAUAUAGCAUAGACUCUUCAACAGACUCUCAAGUCUGGAUUAAGGAUAUAGCCUUCUCCUGAGCUGAAAGUUAUUGGGCAGAUGAGCAGGAAAUUGAAAGCUGCUGUAUCUGACUGGCUAGUUAAGAUCAAGAAGUUGUAUCCAGAGUAAACUCUGGAUUAACCCUGGAAUACUCGGGUUGUUCUUCCAUAUUGUGUCGUGCUUAUUGGUAUGGCUGGCCCUACUGAAGGUACCCUACUUGCCUAUUUACCUGACUCGGCCCUUGCCUGCCUUUUUUGACAAGCUGCUGCAAUCACACUUGUGCUUGAGAAGACUACAACUGAUUUCAGCCUGUCUUAUGCCCAGUUCCACCAAGGAGUUUCGAACAGAAGUAACCUGUACUUCACCCUACCAGGACUUAAUGUUCUCAGCAGUAGGACUAUGCUGUAUACUCUUUGACCAGCAGCAGCUUUUUUUUCCCUCUUUUUUUAAGUGCUGAAUAAGCCUCUAUGCCUAUAUAUAUUUGAUCAUCUUCAGCACCUGGGACCCUUUCUACUGGAUCUGAAGUACAGCAGAUUAAAAGUACUGUCCCUUCCUCUCUUCUGCAGUAAUAACAGAGGUGAGUCUGAGCCACCAGUACAGAAAUGAGAAAUGUACCAGUUCAACUUGGCAAAGGACUUAAAGGAACACAAGAAAAGUUUUCCACUGAACUUAAAAUUUACCACUGACUUGAAUUGCCUCACAACUACGUGCCAGCAGAAGGCUAGUUGUCCUGCUUCAUGUCAGCUAGACGGUUGAGCUCUCAGACUCAUGACCACUGAGUUUGCUUAUAUUGAAACUCCAUUGUAUCAUUUAAAGAAUGCUAUCGGACAUGAUUAUUCCAUUUGAAUGGAUUAUAAGCUUCCUGAGUACUGGACAUACUCCUCGUGAUGCUUUUUCAGAGUACUUUUAUUAUCAAGAAAGUAACAGUGCCAGCUGUUACCAUUCGAUUUUUUGAGCAGAGACUAAACUUUCAACAUCUGGUCUUAUCAUUGACAGCAGUUGUUUUUGAUUGGCCAGCAUUCAUUCCAUGCUCCCUGAUCUUGGAACUACAUCUCCCUAUUUUUAGUCCACGUGGUUCAGACAGUCUGACAUGUUUCAUGUGUGGACAUGUGGUUUAAACCUGAUGGAUCAACAUACUUCCAUCUCUUUGACCAUAGUAAUUGGUUCACAAAUGGUUGUGUGAUUCACAUUGGUCCAGUGAUACUCAAUUCAACCUUGGGAGUUUAACUGAACUAUGGAAGAGAAGAAGCUCAAACUAUACUGAGUUUGCUUAGCUUUGUAGGAUGAAAAAGCUCAACCAGCAGAGUCCACCAUAUUAAAUGAGCCAGUCAGAGAAUGAAGCCAGUGCAGAGGAAAGCGGAGCCAAAUGAUGGAGAGACUUGAGUGCUGGUGACAAUGUUUGUGCCCCUGGAUCCACCUGUGCCUGAAGCUAGAUAUAUCCUCUGGACUUUUCAGUUUUGUGAACCAAUAAAACCCUUUUUUGUUUAAGUUA